UAGCACGGGGUAGCUGCGAGUCUGCUCCGGAGAGCCUGGUCGCGGUUGCUGGACCAUCAUCGAGCUAGUUAAUUCGGAAUGAACAACUAGUCGUGAGGCUGUGAGGCUAGUAUUCGGGUUGGGGUUAGGUGCGUGGGAUUUUCUUCUCCCUAAAGGGUAAGGGACACUUAGCUGUGUUCUCUUUCGACGGUUGGGCGACACGUGUUGUUUUCGGACUACGCUGGGCACUAGAGACACGUCUGCACGCUUCGGCACUCCACAGCGAACUGAGCCCAAGCUCACUAUCAUAAAUCUGGAACAAAUACAAUCGGAUUGAAUGGCGGCAAUCGCUUAAUUACGGCUAUGGUAGAAUCUAGAUUAAAGUGUUAAGGGACUUUCCCAAAAUUCCAAAGGAGAGGCUCCGGUGUCCUUUCAUCUCUGAUAUAUAUAUAUAUAUGCUCAGAUUUCAGAGCUUAGUUUUAGGAGUAAUGUAAUAUCGUAAGGUAGUUCGAAUUAGAAAUCAGUUGAAAAUAGAUAAAACCGAGUACGUCGUCUUUCUGUGGUUCGUUUACAUUUAAGAGUGCCUGCGUGACUAAAGGCACGUAGUUGGUAGUUCUUACAUAGGUAUGAGGGAAACAAUAGACAACGUUAGAAGAAGGACGGUUUCGCUAUCCAAGGCGGGACGACCGAAAGAUCAGAGUGUGCGAGUCGAAAAGUGUGCGUGUUGCGAGAAUCAGAGCUAAUUGAGUCGUCGAAGAGUAGAGUCGUUAGAGGUAAUCGAGUCGUCGAAGAGUAGAGUCGUGAGAAUUGAUAGAGUUGUUAGAGAGAGAGAGUGUGUGUGUGUGUGUUAGAUUCGUUGUGACGAGGGUGGUCAAAUAACUGUAAAGUUAUUUGAUAUAGAUACGAGUAUUGCAUUUAGUUUCCGUUAAAUAAACAUCGUUUUCUGUCCAAUUUAUAUUUGUAUAUUCAAUUUAAUAUUAAUAAAUUGUAAGUAAUCGGAAAAAAAAUUCUAUCCUUAUUUCCACGAUAUUACAGUAAUAUAUUGUAUUUCCCAGAUUACUUUCAUUAAUAUUCGUCUUAAGACAUUAAUAACACUCAAUUUUAAUUUUAUCAAAGCAAAAUAAAUAUUUUUGUUUAAUUAAAACUCUACUCCUAAAAAAAUAAAACUUUUCUAUUUAUGCAAAAUUGCAUGCAAUAAAAGUUUCAAUGAAUACACUUCGUUUUGUAACUGUUUUCUUCAAUCAGAAAAGAUAACGGCCAAAAAAUUAUUGUUAUUCCACAACUAAUUGGAAAUUUUGACAGUUUAAUUCGAUCAUUGGAUCGAUUACACGUACGGUGAUUUUUCAAAUUCGGAAUCAGUUACAGACCUAACUGAAGAGUUAAGCCCUGCGAUGUGUAGUUGGUCCAGGGACAGUGUGGCAAAUCUAUUCGUUCAACGCUGAUUGGUUCCGCCAUUUAUAAAAGCGCUUCCUGCAGCAGUUAUGUAUAGAUUGGUAUAAAUAUAAAUGUAUGAAGUAUACGUUUACAAAGUUGUCUGUAAACAAAGUGUAAUAAUAUUUACCGUGUAUUGGAGUGUAUAUAACGACGGAAAUAAAGAAUAAUAAGAAAAAUCAUCAUAGAGAACAUACAGAAUUAACAUUUAAGUUUGGAACGUUAGUUCAAAUGCCUGAUUACUCAGCCAAGGGAUGCAGAAACAAGUCAAAGAGUGGCCAUAGUUGUACACACAGGUCUGUUAACUGCUGUAAAGGAGAUAAGGUUCUUAAUGUCGCAAGAUGUACUUUACCAAUCGGCCACCAUUGAACACUGCGAUCGAGUAGCUAGGGUUUUGUGUUUGGCGCCAUUCUUCGGUGAAAGCACUAAAGACGUAGCAGUAUAUGCACCACUGCGAACAGGCAGUACAUUGACAGAGAUUAUAGAAGUAGCAUUGGCAACUACUACUUAUGAACCAAAUAACAGGCAAACAAAAAUAAUUCCGCAAGACUUUCUUGACAAAAUCAGAGGAAAAAAGAUUCACUUUCUGCGUACGAGAAUUCCAACUAUUUCCUAUGGAAAGCCACGAACAAAAUAAAGGAGCCAAUUAAACUAAUCCCAGCAAUCAGAUUAACGGACAACACAUGAGCCAGAAGCAACGAAGAGCAAGCUGAAGAAUUUUCCAACCACCUUUGUUGAAGUUAUCUCUUCGAGGAACGCGUGAUGAAUGUGUAACAGAAAUAUAUUUAAGUAUAAGUGUAACUCGUUACAUUACAACAGAGCUUCGAAGCCAUGAGUCUAUGGGUAUUUAUAUAAUUACGAAAACUGGCCGGUCUAUAUAUACCCUGCUGCACCAUCUGUGCAUGGCAUAUUCCUAAAAAAGGCUAUGAGACUGAGAGGCCCUUCAAAUUGAUUUAGAGCUAAACAAUACUCAAUAGCAUCGGGGACUAAGAGAACUAAACGCUAGAGAAGAUGUAGUUUUCCUAGAAACCUAAUUUUUGUCGUAAAUAUUGAAAUCUUGGUUUCGGUAACGCCUUCGUAAAUAUAUCUGCUUGUUACGUCCGGCGACUCUCUACACAAAGCAGACUCCACGCCACAACCAUACCGUCGACCGAUGGGUCCGCGGUAGAAAACGGUAACAAGGAAGAAUGGCCGCAGGAAAUCCCUGACUCCUAAAGCCGCGAGCAAGGUGGUUGGAGCGGAGGAAGCGGCGAUUGAAGCCAUGAACUUAGGUGAUUAAGAUUAAGGGUACGCACCCUCCAGAACAAUCUGGGACAGUCAAGACCUGCUUUUCCAAACCAUUCUGGAGAGCACGGUUGCCCUAGCGGUGGUGGCCGAGCCAUACAGAGUCCUGGACGCUCCGGACUGCGCCGGAGAUACAGACGGCUGUCACCUGGACAUCAGCGCCGGCAUCGUCCGCCCACAGGGAUCCUCUGGAGCGCGGCAACGGAUACGCAGCGGUCGAAUGGUCAGGAAUGGUGGUAGUGGCCGUGUAUGUGUCGCCCAACAGCGAAUGGACAGCGUUCGAGGAGUUCUUGAACGGGGUAGACGACUGCCAUUACGAUUACGAGAUAUAGUAUUACGUUAUAAUACAUUACAUUAUAACGUAUUCCGUUAAAUUGAAUUACGUUAUAUCAUAUUACGUUUUGCCGUUCCUUCACAUACUGAGCAGAAGGCGAACGUUACCAUGAUCGCGGACGGAUAUUAAGACAGGCGGAGUGGGGAUAUGGUAAGAAUAGAAAGGGAGGCAAGUGGAUCAACACAGCAGUUGCCCGUAACCAGUCGUCAGUAGGAAUCGCAACCAGAGAUUUCUGAAGAAGUCGCUGGUCAAGAAAGCAAACGAACUGCGGAACGAAGCGCCGCGUAUUAAGUUGGCAGCCUUCACGUAAUAGAGUACAUUCAGUAAUAUAGUAUUACGUUAUAUAUGUCGGAGAUGAAAGAACACCGGAGUCUGUAAUUGAACAAUUGUAGUUAUUCAAUCCGAUUGUAAUUGUUCGAGAGUUGUGAUAAUGAGCUUGGGCUCGAGGCGACAGUCAGUCGCCGAACGUAGCCGCGGUCACGGGAUGAACGCUUUGUCUAACAAAGGUAUGGAGUAAUUCUAUAGCUCUCCUUAAAAGAAAUAUUCGUGGCGACACGCGACAGUAAACAUUCCAACGGUUUCUGUCCCGUGGCUCGCCACACGCAGACCCUAUUCUUCGAGUAAGAUGAUUACCAGAUGUCGAUGCGUCUCCGCAGUACAUGUUCGGCUAGCCUGAGGACCCGUUAUAAAUCCUAAGAUUUAAUUAACUAAAGUCCUUCAAACAAACAAACAGUCAUUGUCCCAACUACGGGAAAAUAGGGGAGACCUAUUUUUCGACGAGCGGCGUCUCCCACUAGCAACUUUCCAUCGAGGGCGGCUAGCAUCUUUUUCUAACCACCGAUAUGGAGAUUGACCAAUUAGCAGCAACGCCAAUUUGUCUUACUUUCUGAACGAAGGCUUUUCUCGACGAAUCCGAUGAUCUCGUGUCCUUAGACACACCCCAUUAUAGUUUUCCUCUGUGGCAUCAUCGGGACGGGAAAGGCAUUCUCGCUCGCGAUCUCAGUGAUGAAAGGAGUAACUCUUUACAACCAGUGAAUAUUACGCAUCCGACUUAGAUUUCGUGAGUACGUUCAUCUAUCAUCCCGUCGAC